AAAAAUCCCUGUAAGAUAAUGUAGUAGACUUUGGGGCACUAUUAUAUUCUUGGAAAAAUAAGAGGGAAAAUACCCUGGAGUCCUGGACCGGACUUUGAAGGAUUGCUUUUCUGCUAAAGAUUAUAGCCUACCAAGACCAGUAUUUUAAUGAGUUUUCUAUAUUCUAUAUGCCCCUGUUCUGUAGGACCUCCUUUUUAGCUUUCGCAUGUAAUUCCAGUUCAAUU
rnacentral:misc_RNA from 1 species